rnacentral:rRNA from 1 species
UACGUAGGGGGCAAGCGUUGUCCGGAAUUAUUGGGCGUAAAGCGCACGCAGGCGGUUCGCCAAGUUCGGAGUGACAAUCACCGGCUUAACCGGUGAACGACUUCGGAAACUGGUGGACUUGAGAGCGAGAGAGGGACAUGGAACUCCGGGUGGAGCAGUGAAAUGCGUAGAGACCCGGAGGAACACCAGUGGCGAAGGCGGCUUCCUGGUCUGCGACUGACGCUGUGGCGCGAAAGCUAGGGGAGCAAACGGG